rnacentral:rRNA from 1 species
GAUGCCGAUGUCGUGGUGCCGAAUAAUGGCGACGCGAAAGAGAAAUCGAGUAGGGCCCUGGGGAGAGUACACGCGCAAGCGAGAAAUUUAAAGGAAAUUGACGGAAGAACACCACAAGGAGUGGAGUGUGCGGCUUAAUUUGACUCAACGCGGGACAACUUACCGGGCCCGACGACCGUAUGAGUGUAACACACGAUAGGUCGAAGAGUGGUGCAUGGCCGUUAACGACGAGUGGAGUGAUCUUUGGGUUAAGUCCGUAAAUUAGUGAGACCUCAGCCGUAAGGGACAGGUGCGCAAAGCACAGGAAGGAUGGGUCAAGGACAGGUCAGUGAUGCCCUUAGAUGGUCCGGGCUGCACGCGCACUACAGUGGUCGCCGAAAUUACCUGAUAAUUUUAAAGGCGAUCGAGAGGAAAUGAGCUUUGUAAGAGGCUCAGGAACGAGGAAUUGCUAGUAAUCGCGGACUCAU